rnacentral:tRNA from 2 species
UGGGUGAUAGCCAAAUUGGUAAGGCAUAGGACCCUGGAUCCUAGAUGUACUGGUUCGAGCCCAGUUCACCCAA